GAUGAACGCUGGCGGCGUGUCUAAGGCAUGCAAGUCGAAUGGGUUAGACCCAUGGCAAACGGGUGAGUAACACAUUGGUAACCUACCUCGAAGUUUGGUAUAACCCCGCGAAAGCGGGAAUAAUCCCAGAUGUGCUCUAGUAACUAUGUUAUUAGAGUAAAGAUUUAUCGCUUCGAGAGGGGUCUAUGGCUUAUCAGCUUGUUGGUAGGGUAAUGGCCUACCAAGGCAAUGACGAGUAGCGGGCGUAAGAGCGCGACCCGCCUCACUGGGACUGAGACACUGCCCAGACUCCUACGGGAGGCUGCAGUCAAGAAUCUUCCACAAUGACCGAAAGGUUGAUGGAGCGACGCCGCGUGAUUGAAGAAGCCCUUCGGGGUGUAAAGAUCUUUUAUUAGGGACGAACUAAUGACGGUACCUAAUGAAUAAGGGGCUGCUAAACUCG
rnacentral:rRNA from 1 species